UCCCUCCAGAUCCCUUUCCCAUGAGAUCUGGAUACCGAUCUUGUGGUCGUAAAAGGAGGAAAAGUAACAUUCCCACUGGUCUCAGCCUCUGUGCAGGUGCAUCCUGCUCCGAGAGGGGCCAGUGGGAAGACAGGC
rnacentral:snoRNA from 1 species